rnacentral:rRNA from 1 species
UACGAAGGGGGCUAGCGUUGUUCGGAAUUACUGGGCGUAAAGCGCGCGCAGGCGGUUUCUCAAGUCAGUGGUGAAAGCCCGGAGCUCAACUCCGGAACUGCCAUUGAAACUGUGAGACUUGAGGACGAGAGAGGUGAGUGGAAUUCCCAGUGUAGAGGUGAAAUUCGUAGAUAUUCGCAAGAACACCAGUGGCGAAGGCGGCUCACUGGCCCGAUACUGACGCUGAGGCACGAAAGCGUGGGGAGCAAACAGG